UAAGGAAAUCACUUUCGCGUGAGGAAAUACUUUACAAGUUCAAAAUUACAAAUCAUUCCAGCCAAGUGCGUUUAACAUUUAAAAGCAAAAGGAUAUUAAAUUAUUGAACUCCCAAAGAUCAAACCUAAUGUAGAUAAAUUUAGGAUAACUACAGAGUUCUAGACCUCUACCCCGUAUUCUUUUUGAUAAAAUAAACAUCCUUAUUUUUACCUAGUAAUAACUCUAAAUGAUCUAAGGCCCAGCUCUUAUAAACAAACAAAUAGUCACAACAAACAUACAAGUAAAUAUUAGUCAGUAAGGAUAAACCAAAAUAAGCUAAAAUAAUGUAAUAAAGCUUCUAUCCAAUUGUCAGGAGGAUAAAUCUCCUCAAGUCUCGCUAUUCAAAGGGACGAGUAAAGGUAUGAGGGUUCACUUCGGCAGCGGCGUGGAGUCUAACUUUGAGACUCUUUGGCUCCGGUGUGUGUAACAUGCAAAGAAAAAAAAUAAAAGAAUAAAAUUAGCAGAGGACUUAAAUCUUCAACAAGCAUGAAGAAAAUGAAACAAUGAAGCUAGGCAAAGACAAGAUUGCUUUGAGUGUGUGUCCCAAGUAUUAUAGAGACAAGGAACAGAUCUCAAAAACUUCAAAUAGGAUACAUAUUGCAAGGAAAAGAUACUUUUAUAAAACUAAAGAACGUGAUAUUUACCCAGUAUAUAUACUUGUAAGGAACUAGGAAUGGGGCAUACUUUUAAAUAUAUGUGUCACUUUAACAUGUUUCCAAACAGUUGGGUCAAGCUACUGCUACUCUAUAAGUAAUAUUUAAUUAAUUAAUUUAAGCAGUAACAAAUUCUCUUAACAAGAUCUAUGUUCACAUACUAUUUAAAAUAGUGAGUCAUUAUCUUAUACAAUAUUUUAGCAGAGUACUUCUUCCAUAUGACAUUUAAAUAAGUAAAUAGUGGCUAAUCCAUAAAAAUUCAUGGCCUACAAACAUGGUUAUUAAGUAGCUGAAAACGACAUAUUACCUAAAAGUUUAAUAAUAUGAUGUACUAUGAGCAAAUUCCAUACACAGGUUCAUAUGAGAAUUUAGUCAAACACAUGACAUUCUUAUUCAAAUUUUCUAUUGCCAGAAUACGCAAUGAACCACAAAUCAUGGUUUUUCAAUAAAAUAAUUCCUAAAGCAUGAUUUCUACAUAGAAAGCAAGUCACAUUCUUAAGCAAGCAUUUAUUAUGAAAAUAAAAAAAAUAUAAAUAAAAAAAAGGGAGAAGGAAAUUUUAAAGCUAACGGACCUGCUUGGGGCAGUGAACCGAGGGCGGCGUCAAGAAGAUCUACUAUCACCGGCUUUCGAUCAACUCCGUUUGAAGAUCGUCAAAUGCCGACAUAAAUAAAUUGAAAGCUUUGGCAUGGAUCUAGUUUUUGGGGUAAAAGGGGCGGCUCAACCUUAAGAUUAAAGAAGGGGGCCGAAGCUUGUCGGUGUAAAGAGAGGUGCAACGUCUCCAAAAGCUCUCCCCAAAUCGUUUCCCUAUGCCACUAUUUAUAGGCAAAUUAGAAUAAAAUAAUUGAAUUUUGAGUCAAGUUGGCCGUUCGAUUUUGAACGUUGGAAGCCAUGGCAGAGAUAGCACCAUGAGCAGAGAUUUUAACCCAAAAAUGGCGGGAUAUUGUCUUGUACGUAGGUGUUUGAAAGUUAAGAAUUGGCUAAAGAAAUGGAGGAAAAGUCAAGAUGAAAGGUAAAGGAGGUAAGGAUUGAAAAGGAUGGAAAGGAAAG
rnacentral:lncRNA from 1 species